rnacentral:tRNA from 1 species
UGCCUGUUGGUGUAAUGGCAACACGCCGGUUUCUGACACCGGUAUUCUUGGUUCGAGUCCAGGGCGGGCAG